rnacentral:rRNA from 1 species
CCUACGGGUGGCAGCAGUAGGGAAUAUUGCACAAUGGGGGAAACCCUGAUGCAGCAACGCCGCGUGAGUGAAGAAGUUUUUCGGUAUGUAAAACUCUAUCAGCAGAGAAGAAAAUGACGGUACCUGACUAAGCAGCCCCGGCUAACUACGUGCCAGCAGCCGCGGUAAUACGUAGGGGGCAAGCGUUAUCCGGAGUUACUGGGUGUAAAGGGAGCGUAGAUGGCAGCACAAGUCUGGAGUGAAAUGCCGGGGCUUAACCCCGGAACUGCUUUGGAAACUGUGCAGCUAGAGUGCAGGAGAGGUAAGUGGAAUUCCUAGUGUAGCGGUGAAAUGCGUAGAUAUUAGGAGGAACACCAGUGGCGAAGGCGGCUUACUGGACUGUAACUGACGUUGAGGCUCGAAAGCGUGGGGAGCAAACAGGAUUAGAUACCCGUGUAGUC